GAGUAACACGUAAACAACCUGCCUUCAGGAUGGGGACAACAGACGGAAACGACUGCUAAUACCGAAUAAGUUCCAAGAGCCGCAUGGCCCAUGGAAGAAAAGGUGGCCUCUACCUGUAAGCUAUCGCCUGAAGAGGGGUUUGCGUCUGAUUAGCUGGUUGGAGGGGUAACGGCCCACCAAGGCGACGAUCAGUAGCCGGUCUGAGAGGAUGAACGGCCACACUGGAACUGAGACACGGUCCAGACUCCUACGGGAGGCAGCAGUGGGGAAUCUUCCGCAAUGGGCGAAAGCCUGACGGAGCAACGCCGCGUGAGUGAUGACGGCCUUCGGGUUGUAAAACUCUGUGAUCCGGGACGAAAAGGCAGAGUGCGAAGAACAAACUGCAUUGACGGUACCGGAAAAGCAAGCCACGGCUAACUACGUGCCAGCAGCCGCGGUAAUACGUAGGUGGCAAGCGUUGUCCGGAAUUAUUGGGCGUAAAGCGCGCGCAGGCGGCUUCCCAAGUCCCUCUUAAAAGUGCGGGGCUUAACCCCGUGAUGGGAAGGAAACUGGGAAGCUGGAGUAUCGGAGAGGAAAGUGGAAUUCCUAGUGUAGCGGUGAAAUGCGUAGAGAUUAGGAAGAACACCGGUGGCGAAGGCGACUUUCUGGACGAAAACUGACGCUGAGGCGCGAAAGCGUGGGGA
rnacentral:rRNA from 1 species